UACAGAGGUCUCAAGCGUUGUUCGGAUUCAUUGGGCGUAAAGGGUGCGUAGGCGGCGUGGUAAGUCGGAUGUGAAAUCUCGGAGCUUAACUCCGAAACUGCAUUCGAUACUGCGGUGCUUGAGGACUGGAGAGGAGACUGGAAUUCAUGGUGUAGCAGUGAAAUGCGUAGAGAUCAUGAGGAAGACCAGUGGCGAAGGCGGGUCUCUGGACAGUUCCUGACACUGAGGCACGAAGGCCAGGGGAGCAAACGGG
rnacentral:rRNA from 1 species